CACGUAGGGCGCGAGCGUUGUCCGGAAUUAUUGGGCGUAAAGAGCUCGUAGGCGGCCUGUUGCGUCCGCUGUGAAAGCCCGGGGGCUUAACCCCGGGUCGGCAGUGGAUACGGGCAGGCUAGAGGUAGGUAGGGGAGAAUGGAAUUCCCGGUGUAGCGGUGAAAUGCGCAGAUAUCGGGGGGAACACCGGUGGCGAAGGCGGUUCUCUGGGCCUUACCUGACGCUGAGGAGCGAAAGCGUGGGGAGCGAACAGG
rnacentral:rRNA from 1 species